CACGUAGUUAGCCGUGGCUUAUUCAAGAGGUACCGUCUUCUACUCUUCCCUCUUAAAAGAAGUUUACAACCCGAAAGCCUUCUUCCUUCACGCGGCGUUGCUGGGUCAGGCUUGCGCCCAUUGCCCAAUAUUCCCCACUGCUGCCUCCCGUAGGAGUCUGGGCCGUAUCUCAGUCCCAAUGUGGCCGACCAACCUCUCAGUCCGGCUACUGAUCGUCGCCUUGGUAGGCCGUUACCCUACCAACUAGCUAAUCAGACGCGAGGCCAUCUUUCAGCGAUAAAUCUUUGAUAUAGGCACCAUGCGAUACCUAUAUGUUAUGCGGUAUUAGCAGCCGUUUCCAGCUGUUGUCCCCCUCUGAAAGGCAGGUUCCUCACGCGUUACUCACCCGUCCGCCACUAAGUAACCUCUUCCAUUGACCGAAAUCUCUUUCCGAGGCACUCCGUUCGACUUGCAUGUGUUAAGCACGCCGCCAGCGUUCGUCCUGAGCCAGGAUCAAACUCU
rnacentral:rRNA from 1 species